rnacentral:rRNA from 1 species
GACGGAGGAUGCAAGCGUUAUCCGGAAUUAUUGGGCGUAAAGCGCACGCAGGCGGAUCAUUAAGUCAGGGGUGAAAUCCCGGGGCUCAACCUCGGAAUUGCCUUUGAUACUGUCUAUCUUGAGUCCGGGAGAGGUGAGUGGAAUUCCUAGUGUAGAGGUGAAAUUCGUAGAUAUUAGGAAGAACACCAGUGGCGAAGGCGGCUUACUGGUCCAUUACUGACGCUGAGGUGCGAAAGCGUGGGGAGCAAACAGG